rnacentral:rRNA from 1 species
GACGAACGCUGGCGGCGCGCUUAACACAUGCAAGUCGAGCGAGAACCACUCCUUCGGGAGUGGGGACAGCGGCGAACGGGUGAGUAACACGUGGGUAAUCUGCCCUCGAUUCUGGGAUAGCCCGGGGAAACCCGGAUUAAUACCGGAUAGCCUCUCGAGCUUUCGGGCUCGUGAGAAAAGGUAGCUUCGGCCUCCGAUCGAGGAUGAGCCCGCGGCGGAUUAGCUUGUUGGUGGGGUAAUGGCCUACCAAGGCGACGAUCCGUAGCUGGUCUGAGAGGACGAUCAGCCACACUGGGACUGAGACACGGCCCAGACUCCUACGGGAGGCAGCAGUGGGGAAUCUUGCCCAAUGGACGAAAGUCUGAGGCAGCGACGCCGCGUGAGGGAAGAAGGCCUUCGGGUUGUAAACCUCUUUCAGCAGGGACGAAGCCACUCGGGUUAAUAGCCCAGAGGGUGACGGUACCUGCAGAAGAAGCCCCGG